UACGUAGGGUGCGAGCGUUGUCCGGAAUUACUGGGCGUAAAGAGCUCGUAGGUGGUUUGUCGCGUUGUUCGUGAAAACCUGAGGCUUAACCUUGGGCGUGCGGGCGAUACGGGCAGACUGGAGUACUGCAGGGGAGACUGGAAUUCCUGGUGUAGCGGUGGAAUGCGCAGAUAUCAGGAGGAACACCGAUGGCGAAGGCAGUUCUCUGGGCCGUAACUGACGCUGAGGAGCGAAAGCGUGGGGAGCGAACAGG
rnacentral:rRNA from 1 species